rnacentral:rRNA from 1 species
UAGAGUUUGAUCCUGGCUCAGGAUGAACGCUAGCGGCAGGCCUAACACAUGCAAGUCGAGGGGUAACAGAGAAGCUUGCUUCUGCUGACGACCGGCGCACGGGUGCGUAACGCGUAUGCAACCUACCUCAUACUGGAGAAUAGCCCUUGGAAACGAGGAUUAAUACUCCAUAGUAUCAUUCUUUCGCAUGUUAGAAUGAUUAAAGAAUUUCGGUAUGAGAUGGGCAUGCGUCCCAUUAGCUAGUUGGUGAGGUAACGGCUCACCAAGGCGACGAUGGGUAGGGGGCCUGAGAGGGUGGUCCCCCACACUGGUACUGAGACACGGACCAGACUCCUACGGGAGGCAGCAGUGAGGAAUAUUGGUCAAUGGAGGCAACUCUGAACCAGCCAUGCCGCGUGAAGGAUGACGGCCCUAUGGGUUGUAAACUUCUUUUAUAUGGGAAGAAACUUAUCUACGUGUAGAUAACUGACGGUACCAUACGAAUAAGGAUCGGCUAACUCCGUGCCAGCAGCCGCGGUAAUACGGAGGAUCCAAGCGUUAUCCGGAUUCAUUGGGUUUAAAGGGUCCGUAGGCGGAUUUUUAAGUCAGUGGUGAAAGCCGGCAGCUCAACUGUCGAACUGCCAUUGAUACUGGAAAUCUUGAGUACAAAUGAAGUAGGCGGAAUGAGUCAUGUAGCGGUGAAAUGCAUAGAUAUGACUC